rnacentral:misc_RNA from 1 species
GAUGAAGAACGUAGCGAAAUGCGAUAAGUAAUGCGAAUUGCAGAAUUCAGUGAGUCAUCGAAUCUUUGAACGCACAUCGCGCCCUGUGGUAUUCCGCAGGGCAUGCCUGUUCGAGCGUCAUCUAAACCUUCAAGCACUGCUUGGUGUUGGGUGCCUGUCCCGCCCCCGCGCGUGGACUCGCCUCAAAUCCAUUGGCGGCCCUCACGUCGGCUACGAGCGCAGCAGAAACGCGAACUUGUGGACCCGGCGGAGUGGCUCCCAGAAGCUACAUUCACCAUUUUGACCUCGGAUCAGGUAGGGAUACCCGCUGAACUUAAGCAUAUCAAUAAGCGGAGGA